rnacentral:rRNA from 1 species
AACGAACGCUGGCGGCAGGCUUAACACAUGCAAGUCGAACGGUUGUAGCAAUACAGCAGUGGCAGACGGGUGAGUAACACGUGGGAACCUUCCUAGGGGUACGGAACAACUCAGGGAAACUUGAGCUAAUACCGUAUACGUCCGUGAGGAGAAAGAUUUAUCGCCCUUAGACGGGCCCGCGUCGGAUUAGCUAGUUGGUGGGGUAACGGCCUACCAAGGCGACGAUCCGUAGCUGAUCUUAGAGGAUGAUCAGCCACACUGGGACUGAGAANCGGCCCAGACUCCUACGGGAGGCAGCAGUCGGGAAUCUUGGACAAUGGGCGC